AGUGAGAUGUAGAUUUUUUUCAUCAAUUUUAGCUCCUCUAGAAUAUUUUGAUCACAUUCAGUCCACAACCAUGUCCACCGCCACACCUCGAUCUUUCUUCCCUCCUUCCUCUUCCUCUUUCUUCUCCCACCUCUCCAUUCACUCACCUUUAUACUUCUUAUUUUUCCUAAACACCAUGGCCACCCCCACCCACCUCCAUCUUCCUUCUGUCCCCCCAUUUUCCCCAAACCUGAGAAAACGCUCAACAUUUCCAAUCCCACACAACCAAAUAAUUACCUCCAGGGUCCUAGCUGGCGGAAAUAACUACAUCAUCCUCAAAUUCAAACAGCACAUAGGACGAAGCAAACUUUGCUGUUGAUUUUGUUGACGCGACGCCAACACUGGAGGUUGGCAACAAUCUUCCAAAGAGGUGCGUCUUCAUUAUAUCCAUAGAGAUGCUAACGAACUUGCUAACUGCAGUGUAUCUACCCAAAGCAAAAAGAUCCUCCGAAUAGGCCGCAGUAAGUGCUGUUUAGAGAUAUUUUAGACAUUUAAUUUUAUUGUUUACCUUUCCCAAAAACUUGUAAAAAUAAUUUUAAAAAAUGAUCAUACUAUAAUCGUUUUGGUUUGA